AUUGAACGCUGGCGGCAGGCCUAACACAUGCAAGUCGAACGAGUGGCGGACGGGUGAGUAAUGUCUGGGAAACUGCCUGAUGGAGGGGGAUAACUACUGGAAACGGUAGCUAAUCCCGCAUACCAUCGGAUGUGCCCAGAUGGGAGUAGCUAGUAGGUGGGGUAACGGCUCACCUAGGCGACGAUCCCUCGCUGGUCUGAGAGGAUGAAAGGCCACACUGGAACUGAGCCACGGUCCAGACUCCUAAGUGAGGCAGCAGUGGGGAAUAUUGCACAAUGGGCGCAAGCCUGAUGCAGCCAUGCCGCGUGUAUGAAGAAGGCCGUCGGGUUGUAAAGUACUUUCAGCGGGGAGGCGUUACCCGCAGAAGAAGCACCGGCUAACUCCGUGCCAGCAGCCGCGGUAAUUC
rnacentral:rRNA from 1 species